rnacentral:rRNA from 1 species
UACGAAGGGGGCGAGCGUUGUUCGGAAUUACUGGGCGUAAAGGGCGCGCAGGCGGCUCUGAAAGUCAGAUGUGAAAGCCCCGGGCUUAACCUGGGAAUUGCAUUUGAUACUCUGGAGCUUGAGUACGGGAGAGGAGAGUGGAAUUCCCAGUGUAGAGGUGAAAUUCGUAGAUAUUGGGAAGAACACCGGUGGCGAAGGCGGCUCUCUGGACCGUAACUGACGCUGAGGCGCGAAAGCGUGGGGAGCAAACCGGG